AGCUCAAAUUUGAAAUCUGGCUCUCUUUGGGGGUCCGAGUUGUAAUUUGCAGAGGAUGCUUUGGCAUUGGCGGCGGUCUAAGUUCCUUGGAACAGGACAUCACAGAGGGUGAGAAUCCCGUACGUGGUCGCCUGCCUUUGCCGUGUAAAGCUCCUUCGACGAGUCGAGUUGUUUGGGAAUGCAGCUCUAAAUGGGAGGUAAAUUUCUUCUAAAGCUAAAUACUGGCCAGAGACCGAUAGCGCACAAGUAGAGUGAUCGAAAGAUGAAAAGUACUUUGGAAAGAGAGUCAAAAAGCACGUGAAAUUGUUGAAAGGGAAGCGCUUGCAGCCAGACUUGCCCGCAGUUGCUCACCUAGGCUUUGGCCUGGGGCACUCUUCUGCGGGCAGGCCAGCAUCAGUUUGGGCGGUUGGAUAAAGGCCUCUGUCACGUAUCUCCCUUCGGGGUGACCUUAUAGGGGAGGCGCAAUGCAACCAGCCCGGACUGAGGUCCGCGCAUCUGCUAGGAUGCUGGCGUAAUGGCUGUAAGCGGCCCGUCUUGAAACACGGACCAAGGAGUCUAACAUCUAUGCGAGUGUUUGGGUGUCAAGCCCGAGCGCGCAAUGAAAGUGAACGGAGGUGGGAACCCUUUGGGUGCACCAUCGACCGAUCCUGAUGUCUUCGGAUGGAUUUGAGUAAGAGCAUAGCUGUUGGGACCCGAAAGAUGGUGAACUAUGCUUGAAUAGGGUGAAGCCAGAGGAAACUCUGGUGGAGGCUCGCAGCGGUUCUAACGUGCAGGUCGAU
rnacentral:rRNA from 1 species